rnacentral:rRNA from 1 species
GACGUAGGGCGCGAGCGUUGUCCGGAUUUAUUGGGCGUAAAGAGCUCGUAGGCGGCUUGUUGCGUCGGCUGUGAAAACCCAUGGCUCAACCGUGGGCUUGCAGCCGAUACGGGCAGGCUAGAGUUCGGUAGGGGAGACUGGAAUUCCUGGUGUAGCGGUGAAAUGCGCAGAUAUCAGGAGGAACACCGGUGGCGAAGGCGGGUCUCUGGGCCGAUACUGACGCUGAGACGCGAAAGCGUGGGGAGCGAACAGG